rnacentral:rRNA from 1 species
UUACGCACUCCUACGGGAGGCAGCAGUGGGGGAAUAUUGCACAAUGGGCGCAAGCCUGAUGCAGCCAUGCCGCGUGUAUGAAGAAGGCCUUCGGGUUGUAAAGUACUUUCAGCAGUGAGGAAGGUGGGUAUGUUAAUAGCAUAUUCAUUUGACGUUAGCUGCAGAAGAAGCACCGGCUAACUCCGUGCCAGCAGCCGCGGUAAUACGGAGGGUGCGAGCGUUAAUCGGAAUUACUGGGCGUAAAGCGCAUGCAGGUGGUUUGUUAAGUCAGAUGUGAAAGCCCGGGGCUCAACCUCGGAAUUGCAUUUGAAACUGGCAAACUAGAGUACUGUAGAGGGGGUAGAAUUUCAGGUGUAGCGGUGAAAUGCGUAGAGAUCUGAAGGAAUACCGGUGGCGAAGGCGGCCCCCUGGACAGAUACUGACACUCAGAUGCGAAAGCGUGGGGAGCAAACAGGAUUAGAUACCCUGGGAG